UACGUAGGGUGCGAGCGUUGUCCGGAAUUACUGGGCGUAAAGAGCUUGUAGGUGGUUUGUCGCGUUGUUCGUGAAAUCUCACGGCUUAACUGUGAGCGUGCGGGCGAUACGGGCAGACUAGAGUACUGCAGGGGAGACUGGAAUUCCUGGUGUAGCGGUGGAAUGCGCAGAUAUCAGGAGGAACACCGGUGGCGAAGGCGGGUCUCUGGGCAGUAACUGACGCUGGGAAGCGAAAGCGUGGGGAGCGAACAGG
rnacentral:rRNA from 1 species